CAUCCAUCCCUGCCCCAUCCCUGCCAGCCCAGCUGGGGCUGUGGGCACAUCCCCGGUGCCCUGAGCACCAACAUCCCCCGGGAGCCCCAAAUCCCACAGGACCCCAAUCCCACAGGAGCCCCAAUCCCAUGGGAGCCCCAAUCCCACAGGAACCCCAAAUCCCACAGAAACCCCAAAAUCCCACGGGAGCCCCAAUCCCACGGGAGCCCCAUUCCAAUGGGAGCCCAAAUCCUACAGAAACCCCAAUCCCACAGGAACAGAACCCCAAUCCCACAGGACCCCAAUCCCACAGGAGCCCCAAAUCCCAUGGGAGCCCCAAAUCCCAUGGGAGCCCCAAAUCCCACGGGAACCCCAAAUCCCACGGGAACCCCAAAUCCCAUGGGAGCCCCAAAUCCCACAGGACCCCAGUCCUAGGGGAGCCCCAAUCCCACGGGAGCCCGAAAUCCCACGAGAGCCCCAAUCCUGCAGGAGCCCAAUCCCACAGGAAGAGAAGCCCCAAUCCCACAGGAGCCCAAUCCCGUGGGAGCCCCAGUCCCACAGAAACCCCCAAUCCCACAGGACCCCAAAUCCUACGGGAGCCCCAAUCCCAGGGGAGCCCCAAAUCCCACAGGAAGAGAAGCCCCAAUCCUGUGGGAGCCCCAAUCCCACAGAAUCCCAAAUCCCACAGGAGCCCAAUCCCAUGGGAGCAGGAGCCCCAAAUCCCACAGGAACAGGACCCCAGUCCCACAGGACCCCAAUCCCACAGGAUCCCAAAUCCCACAGGACCCCAAAUCCCGCAGGAGCCCCAAUCCCGCAGAAUCCCAAAUCCCACAGGAACAGGACCCCAAAUCCCAUGGGAGCCCCAUUCCAAUGGGAGCCCAAAUCCCACAGGAGCCCAAUCCCACGGGAGCAGGAGCCCCAAAUCCCACAGGAACCCCAAUCCCACGGGAACCCCAAAUCCCAUGGGAGCCCCAAAUCCCACAGGAACAGGAGCCCAAUCCCACGGGAGCAGAACCCAAAUCCCACAGGAACAGGACCCCAAUCCCGUGGGAACCCCAAUCCCACGGGAGCCCCAAUCCUGUGGGAGCCCCAGUCCCACAGAAACCCCAAAUCCCACAGAAGCAGGACCCCAAUCCUACAGGACCCAAAUCCCACAGGAGCCCCAAUCCCACGGGAGCCCGAUCCCACAGAAUCCCAAAUCCCACAGGAGCCCAAUCCCACGGGAGCCCCAAAUCCCACGGGAGCAGAACCCCAAUCCCACGGGAGCAGAACCCCAAUCCCACGGGAGCCCCAAUCCCACAGGAACCCCAAUCCCACAAGAACAGGAGCCCAAUCCCACGGGAGCCCCAAUCCCAUGGGAGCCCAAAUCCCACAGGAGCCCCAAAUCCCACAGGAGCCCCAAAUCCCACAGGACCCAAAUCCCACAGGAAGAGAAGCCCCAAUCCCACAGAAUCCCAAAUCCCACAGGAACAGGACCCCAAUCCCACAGGAACAGGAGCCCAAAUCCCACGGGAACCCCAUUCCAAUGGGAGCCCAAAUCCCACAGAAACCCCAAUCCCACAGGACCCCAAAUCCCACAGGAGCCCAAUCCCACAGGAGCAGGAUCUGCGUCUCCUGCAGGCUGAGUCACUUCUGCUCCUCCUUUUUCCCAGAAAAAUUCACAAUUUUGGGUUCCCUUGAGUGUGGGCAGGCCCGGCCCACUCAGCACAGCAGCUCCC
rnacentral:lncRNA from 1 species